CCAGGUCAUUUGCUGCUGGAG
rnacentral:misc_RNA from 1 species